GUGCCAGCAGCCGCGGUAAUACGGAGGAUGCAAGCGUUAUCCGGAUUUAUUGGGUUUAAAGGGUGCGCAGGCGGCGCGUUAAGUCAGCGGUGAAAUGUCCCGGCUCAACCGGGGCACUGCCGUUGAUACUGGCGUGCUGGAGUACGGACGGCGCCGGCGGAAUGUGCAGUGUAGCGGUGACAUGCUUAGAUAUUGCACAGAACACCGAUCGCGAAGGCAGCUGGCGAGGCCGGUACUGACGCUCAGGCACGAAAGCGUGGGGAGCAAACAGGAUUAGAUACCCUGGUAGUCCACGCAGUAAACGAUGAUGACUUGUUGUCGGCGAUAGAAUGUCGGUGACAAAGCGAAAGCGAUAAGUCAUCCACCUGGGGAGUACGAUCGCAAGGUUGAAACUCAAAGGAAUUGACGGGGGCCCGCACAAGCGGAGGAGCAUGUGGUUUAAUUCGAUGAUACGCGAGGAACCUUACCUGGACUCAAAUGUUGAGCGACCGUUCCAGAAAUGGGACUUUCCUUCGGGACGCUCAGCAAGGUGCUGCAUGGUUGUCGUCAGCUCGUGCCGUGAGGUGUCAGGUUAAGUCCUAUAACGAGCGCAACCCCUACGUCCAGUUGCCAGCGGGUGAAGCCGGGGACUCUGGAGGAACUGCCCACGCAAGUGGAGAGGAAGGUGGGGAUGACGUCAAAUCAGCACGGCCCUUACGUCCAGGGCGACACACGUGCUACAAUGGCCGGUACAGAGGGCAGCCACCCCGCGAGGGGGAGCGAAUCUCGAAAGCCGGUCUCAGUUCGGAUCGGAGUCUGCAACCCGACUCCGUGAAGUUGGAUUCGCUAGUAAUCGCGCAUCAGCCAUGGCGCGGUGAAUACGUUCCCGGGCCUUGUACACACCGCCCGU
rnacentral:rRNA from 1 species